ACCAUAGCCUAGCAUUCAACUACAAUCGAUGGCAAUUUUGGUAGCAAGGUAAUGGCGAGGGUAAACUAGACUACCUGAGAUUUAUAGCUAGCAUAGAAGUACGAGUAAUAUUCCUGAUGCAACUAAUAAAACAUCUAGUGCAUAGUAAAAAUAUUUAGGAGAAUGAUCAAAGUGAACUUGCCUUGUCCAAGGUUGUGGUUGUUCUCGCACUCUUCGCAACAACAAGGAUUACACUCCACACAAUCUAAAAUAAAAGGAACACACACAAUAAACAGAACAUUCAAUACAAAAGCCAUGCGAUGAUGCACACAAAGGUUACUUCUAAAGUAAAAAGUUUCAUUUCUGUUUUGAAAAGUUUUUCAAAUGCCUUGGACAGAAUAUACCACAUCAAAGUGGUAAUUAAUAUGCAUGAUACAUGGAUAGGAUUUAAAACAAAAGAUUGUGCGGCUUUUGCAACAUAGAGCAAUAUUUAACUUGUAUGUCAUGAUUAUACACAAAAUAAUUUCUUUUCUUGUCCUAAUGGACAGAGAACAAGUUUAAAUAAUUUUACAUCAAGAUAACAUGCUCAAAACUAUUUUGAAACAAUUCAUUUGAAAUUUAAACCAUAUUCAAUCAUUCUGUAAAUAGCUUCUAUCUAAGUUGUUCAAAACUGAAAUUAAACAGCGCGAAAAUAUUCUACACAUUGUGACGAUUCCAGAAAGGUGCGGAUCACAAUUUUUGGACAAACGGUUUGAAAGAUAUGAGGCUUUGAAGUUACAGGAGCUUUUCUGCAAAAAUGCAUUAUCAAAUUCGGCCGAAAUAAAACAAAAUAAAAAAAAGAUUCCGCCACGUGGCAUGGCGGGAUUGGCCCGGGGCUAGGGUUUUGGCCGGCAGGGCUAGCUCGCCGGACGGCGGUGGCGGCGGGCGGCGCGACGGCGCAAGGGCGCGAGCAACGCGGAGGCGGGUCGAGCGGGCGGCGCGGCCAGGCGGAGCGAGAGGCGGAGGCAGGCGGUGCGCGCGGGCGCGGCGACAGCGGCCGGCACGCGGGGCAGGCGGCAGGCGGCAAGCGGGCGCGGCGCGGGCGGCGGGCAGCCGGCGCUGGGGAAGAAGGCAGACGGCGGCGGGCAAACUCAAAAGUGAACGCGUCACCGGACGCGCUAGGGAGAGGGGAGAACGGGAAGGUGGUCGGACAUGGAAGAAGCUCACCGGAGCGGCGACCAAACGCGAAGAACGGCGACGACAGAGAGCAACUCUGGCGAGAAAUUAAUCUCUAACCGAAGCGAAAUUGGGCGAGCUGUUUGGGAAAGUGGAGGAGAAAAGCGAGGGCUUCGGGGUGACGCGC
rnacentral:lncRNA from 1 species